CAUUUAUCUUUGACGUGAUUGGUCCAGUGGGUGUCCCCUAGUAAACCAGGCCGACUGGAAACAACGGAACCCCUGGCAGGAACCGUUAACUGAGACAUGUCGUUCCAUCGGGAUUCUGGGGGUCCCAGGGGGGGAAUGCCCCCAGGUCAGCACAGCUCCGCUCAAACCUUCCGGCCCACCAACAUGAGGACCCCUCCUCCUCAGCCCCAUGUACCCCCCUACCAUUAUGACCCACAGGCGACGCCUAGUUCAGGCUACCACGGGGGCUACAUGCCCCCUGACUUUAUGCACUAUCCCCCCCCAGCCCCACCACAGACCCCCGGCUCGGUGAGCCAGUGUCCCGUACGACCGCCGUUUCCAAAGUCCACCGCGCGCCAAGGCUUCCAGGAGCCCCCGCCUAACUUUCCGCCCCCGCCUUUGCCCAGCUCUGCAGGCGGUCCUGGUCCGAGGGUGCAGGUCUCAGCUCACAGCUCCUAUCACCCCUUCAUGAUGCCCCCACCCCCUCUGCCCCGUCCACCUAUGCCUCCGCCUAUUUCCUCUCAGUCCAUGAACUACAACCUUCCAUAUCCCAUGAACUAUCCUCCUUUCCCACCUCCCACCUUCAUGCCCAGCUACUCGCAGAGUCCCGGCCCGUUUCAGCCGGACCACGGCGCCCGGCACGGGGGGCAGUUCAAGUAUGAGAAGCCCCCAGAGAGCAGGAGGUCCCCAGAAAGGAGCUUUUACCAGGACGGCCGACAGAAGAGCUACUGCUACAGCGGAGACAGGCGCAAGAUGGAGUUUUCCGGAGACAGGAAGGACCACGGGAGAAGUCCGGACAGGAACAGCCGGCCUGAGGGGGGGCGGUACCGGUCCCCUCUGCGGCCCAGGAGCAGAGAGCGGUACCGUCACAGAGACCGGCAGAGGUCGCCAUCACCUGACAAGCACAGAAAGAGGCCUCGCAGCCGCUCGUCCAGCAGAGACAGGAAACGCAGCCGCUGGGAGGAGGAGAAGGAACGGCGCUCUGAGGGCUCCUUCAGCAGGGAGCGCAGCUACUCCUCUCUCAGGACCCGGGACUCCGAAGAAGCCAGUGACCGGGAGAGAGAACGAGACAGAGAAAGGGAGGCGGCAAAGGCUGAGGAGGAGAAGGACGAGGACGAUCUGCUGAAGCCCGCCUGGAUUCGCUGCACUCACGCUGAGAGCUACUACUCCAACGACCCCAUGGACCAGGUGGGAGACUCUACCGUGGUGGGGACGAGUAAACUGCGCGAGCUGUAUGAGCGCUUUGAGGAGGAGCUGGGAAAAAGGCAGGAGCGGGCCAAGGAGGCCAGACCCAAGUGGGAGCCGCCCAAAACCAAACUGGACGAGGAUCCAGAUGACAGCAGCAGCGACUCGGACUGCGAGUCAGACGAGGAUGGCAGCAGCUGCUCCAGCAGCUCCGACUCCGAGGUUUUUGACGUCAUCGCUGAGAUCAAGAGGAAGAAAGCCCAUCCCGACCGGCUGCACGAGGAGCUGUGGUACAACGACCCCGGACAGAUGAACGACGGUCCCCUGUGCAAGUGCAGCGCCAAGGCCAGACGGACGGGGAUCCGCCACAGCAUUUACCCCGGAGAGGAGCCUGUGAAACCCUGCCGUCCCAUGAACAACAACGCUGGGAAGCUCUUCCACUACCGGAUCACCGUGUCUCCUCCCACAAACUUCCUGACGGACAGACCGACGGUGAUCGAGUACGACGACCACGAGUAUCUGUUUGAAGGCUUCUCGCUCUUCUCCCACACGCCUCUCACCAGUAUUCCGUUGUGCCGUGUGAUCCGCUUCAACAUAGAUUACACCAUUCACUUCAUAGAGGAGAUGGCGCCGGAGAACUACUGCGUUCGAGGCCUGGAGCUGUUCGCCUCCUACCUGUUCCAGGACAUCCUCGAGCUGUACGACUGGAACCUGAAAGCUCCGGACAGCGAAGGCGAGGCCUCAGGAUGCCAGCAGUUCCACUUCAUGCCCCGUUUCGUCAGAUUCUUACCUGACGGCGGGAAGGAGGUGCUGUCCAUGCACCAGGUGCUGCUGUACCUGCUCUGCAGCAGCAAGGCCCUGGUUCCCGAGGAGGAGAUCGCCGACAUGCUGCAGUGGGAGCAGCUGGACUGGCAGAAGUACGCAGAGGAGUGCAAAGGCAUGAUCGUCACCAACCCGGGCAUGAAACCCAGCUCCGUGCGCAUCGACCAGCUGGACAGGGAGCAGUUCAACCCGGACGUCAUCACCUUCCCCAUCAUCGUCCACUUCGGGAUCCGACCGGCUCAGCUCAGCUACGCCGGAGACCCUCAGUACCAGAAGCUGUGGAAGAGUUAUGUGAAACUGCGCCACCUGCUGGCAAACAGCCCAAAGGUCAAGAAGCUGGACAAGCAGAAGCUGUCACAAAGAGAGGAAGCUCUUCAGAAGAUCCGUCAGAAGAACACCAUGCGGCGCGAGGUGACGGUGGAGCUCAGCAGCCAGGGCUUCUGGAAAACCGGCAUCCGCUCCGACGUCUGCCAGCACGCCAUGAUGCUGCCCGUCCUGACCCACCACAUCCGCUACCACCAGUGCCUGAUGCACCUGGAUGAGCUGAUUGGCUACGUCUUCAAGGAGCGCUGCCUCCUGCAGCUCGCCAUGACGCACCCCAGUCACCACCUCAACUUCGGCAUGAAUCCCGAUCACGCCCGCAACUCUCUGUCCAACUGCGGUAUUCGCCAGCCCAAAUACGGGGACAGGAAGGCCCACCAGAUGUACAUGAGGAAGAAAGGAAUCAACACCCUGAUUAACAUCAUGUCUCGCCUUGGGCAGGAUGACCCCUCCCCAUCCAGGAUCAAUCACAACGAAAGGCUGGAGUUCCUGGGCGACGCCGUGGUGGAGUUCCUCACCAGCGUCCAUCUGUACUAUCUGUUUCCAAGCUUAGAGGAGGGCGGUCUGGCCACCUACAGGACGGCCAUCGUUCAGAACCAGCACUUAGCCAUGCUGGCCAAGAAACUGGAGCUGGAUCGCUUCAUGCUGUACGCUCAUGGGCCGGACCUGUGCCGGGAAUCGGACCUGCGACAUGCAAUGGCCAACUGCUUUGAAGCUCUCAUUGGCGCUGUGUAUUUGGAAGGAGGUUUGGACGAGGCGCGACUGCUCUUUGGUAGACUGCUCUUCAACAGUGAGGAUCUCCGGGAGGUCUGGCUCAACUAUCCAGCGCACCCCCUGCAGGUUCAGGAGCCUCAGACCGACCGGCAGCUGAUCGAGACGUCUCCGGUUCUGCAGAAGCUGACCUCCUUUGAGGAUUCCAUCGGCGUGUUUUUCACGCAUGUGCGCCUGCUGGCCCGAGCCUUCACCCUCAGGACGGUGGGCUUCAACCACCUCACCCUAGGCCACAACCAGAGGAUGGAGUUCCUGGGAGACUCCAUCAUGCAGCUGGUUGCUACUGAAUAUCUCUUCAUCCACUUCCCAGACCAUCAUGAAGGACAUUUGACGCUCCUCCGCAGCUCUCUGGUCAACAACCGCACACAGGCCAAGGUGGCAGAGGAGCUGGGCAUGCAGGAGUUUGCCAUCACCAACGACAAAACCAAGCGACCCGUGGCGCUGCGGACCAAGACUCUGGCGGAUUUACUGGAGUCUUUCAUCGCCGCUCUCUACAUCGACAAAGAUCUGGAGUACGUUCACACCUUCAUGAACGUGUGCUUCUUCCCUCGGCUGAAGGAGUUCAUUCUGAACCAGGACUGGAACGACCCCAAAUCGCAGCUGCAGCAGUGCUGUUUGACCCUGAGGACCGAGGGCAAGGAGCCCGACAUCCCCCUCUACAAGACCCUUCAGACGGUGGGGCCCUCGCACGCCCGCACGUACACGGUGGCGGUCUACUUUAAGGGGGAGCGCAUCGGCUGUGGCAAAGGCCCGAGUAUCCAGCAGGCAGAAAUGGGGGCCGCGAUGGACGCACUGGAAAAAUAUAACUUCCCACAGAUGGCUCAUCAGAAGCGCUUCAUCGAGCGGAAAUACCGACAGGAGCUGAAGGAGAUGAGACGGGAGCGGGAGCGGCAGGAGAAGGAGAGCGACGAGGCGGAGGAGUGCAGGAAGUGACAGCGGUCAGGACCAGCCAAACCUGCAGCUCCUGCAACAAAGACUGGGGGGAGCCUCCGGGCCCCCCCGCCUGCUGUGUGAAGGAGUCUCACGACAGCAGGAGAUCAUGUGAGACUCCUGGGAGGCCCGUGGCUGCUGUCACGUUUGUCACGUUGUGGAUUUCCUGCUGUUUGUCCAGAAGAACGUCACACAAAGGAAGGGCUUUUUAAAGAGAUUUAAUUGUCAUAUAAAUAUCCAGUACAAAAUAUCACGGUUUACAAAGCAGUGUGAUGGACGGCCCCUCCUCCACCACAGCCUCUCCGUUUCUACAAGAACUACACGGGAACACCACGCAGAGCUGAACCCAGCAUCAACAACCAAACAUCUAGGCUUUCUGGAGCAACCCCGCCCUAAAACACAAGGAGGAAUCAGACGCGGGGGCGUGGCCAGCGCUCAGCGGCCGCUCUCCUGUCCAAUAGAAGCACGUGGGCGUGAUGUGCCGGCGGCCCGUACCCAAACAGUCAAAUACGGAAUCUAAAAACGUUGAUUUCCUGUGGUGGAGCCGUUUCCAGCAGCAGAUGAUAUGACAUCGCCACCCGGUCCAUUCAGCGGGCUGGGGGGGGGUGAACGUCAGCCUCUGCACAGGUGGACCUUUAAAGUGAGAGCAGCCCCCCCUUAACCUCACAGGAGCUCCAGCAGGAAGCUGGCAGUGCUGCUGCUUUAACAUCCUUUAUUUCUAAAUCAGCUCUAAAAGCUGCGGCGUCCUCCUGGAAGAGACGACCUUCUCCGUGAGACAAGGACGCCAUUAUGUGUCUGCAAGCAGAGCGUCUUGAUGGUCCCUCAGGAAAUCAGCUCACCCCCCCCACUCCACUCCACGGACUGAGCUCCUGAAAGGAAAGUACUGCUGCUCUUCUGCUGUUUGGCAUCUUUCUGCUGCAAUACUGGGGAAAAUAUCUGCCCCCCCCUCUUCCAGAUGAUUGUUUGCAUGCCUCAGUCCAACCGCUGAAUUCAGACUUUUAUUGUGGAAAUAUGCAAACAUGAGGGAAGUAGGAGCAGAUCUGAGAUGAUUUGAACUAUAAAGGGAAUGUGUCCACCUCUGCUUUCUUCCCAUCCUGUAAAUAACCCCCCCCCCCCCCCCCCCCCCCCCUACA